rnacentral:lncRNA from 1 species
UAAAAGCAGGCUGCGUGAGCCAACAGUGGCAACUUGUUCGGGUAUCCUUCCCCAGUGUGGAAGCUUUAGUUCUUUUGCUCUUUGCAAUGAAUCUUGCUGCUGCUCACUCUUUGGGUCCACGCUGCGUUUACACUGUGUUUAUGAGCUGUAACACUCACCACAAAGGUCUGCAGCUUCACUCCUGAAGCCAGCAAAGACCACGAACCCACCAGGAAGAAGGAACAACUCCAGACACGCAGCCUUAAGAGCUGUAACACUCACUGCCAAGGUCUUCAGCUUCACUCCUGAGCCAGCCAGACCAUGAACCCACCAGAAGGAAAAAACUCGGAACACAUCCCAACAUCAGAAGGAACAAACUCUGGACAUGCCGCCUUUAAGAACUGUAACAACGCAAGGGUCCGCGGCUUUAUUCUUGAAGUCAGUAAGACCAAGAACCCAAUUCCGGACACGUUUGGACCGCCCACAAGGGCAAGACUUCAUGAGGUUCUGGUGACCAAGCAUGCUCAUCGCUGUCCUGGGACUGCUCCAAGUGCAAUUCAAAGAUGUUUGUUACAAAUGAAGAUCCUCUCCUCAGAGAUCCUCAUUCCCUGCAUUUGAGAUGGGCCCUGGGAACCUUCAUUAUUAACUCCUGAAUUUCACUUGGACCAACACGGUGAUGGUGACAAGCCCAGACUGGUGCAUAUGAGAAGAGAAGACACAAGAAAACACACAUGGAAGAGAGUGAUGAAGGCGAAGACCGGAGUGAUGUAGCUCCAAGCCACAGAAUGUCAGAGAUCGCCAGGAGCCACCUCCGGGAUAAGCAGAUGGAAAGGCAGCUCAACAUCUGAGAAGCCAGUCUUACUCCCUGCAGGCAACAGCUGCUUCCAGAAAACAGCCCUAUUACUUCACCAAAGUACAGUUCCUACAGGAAGAUAAUGAUCUGACCUAACCUACUAUUGGCUGAAGGAAGGAGAAAAGCAGCUGAAGAUGUCUGUUGAGUGAUUACCCUCAUAAUCCGUGACUAAGAACAUCCAAAUCAGCAUGGCUUCUUCCUGUCUGAAAUUAUUACUACUUAGGGUUUUUCACGUGUUAUUUCAUUUAUUGAUUAUUCUGUUUUAAACUUGCAAGACGUAUUGUCUCUUCAGAAAUAAAACUUUAUCACUUGCUUCAUCAAUUCAA